UACAGAGGUGGCAAGCGUUGUUCGGAAUUACUGGGCUUAAAGGGCGCGUAGGCGGCCUUCUAAGUCAGACGUGAAAUCCCCCGGCUUAACCUGGGAACUGCGUCUGAUACUGGGAGGCUUGAGUGCGGGAGAGGGAUGCGGAAUUCCAGGUGUAGCGGUGAAAUGCGUAGAUAUCUGGAGGAACACCGGUGGCGAAGGCGGCAUCCUGGACCGACACUGACGCUGAGGCGCGAAAGCUAGGGUAGCAAACGGG
rnacentral:rRNA from 1 species